rnacentral:ncRNA from 2 species
AGUGAGGAUAGAGGCGCAAAGACCAUUAGUACACAGUUGGAGGAUAAUGAGGUCCUGGGAUAAUUGUGGAAAGGGGAAUUUGCCGAAGCUUUUAAGAAUCUCAUUUGUCUUAGGGCUGGUUCUGCUAUUGAAUAAAUACAGAACUGUCAUAUAGGGAACUAUAUGGAGGGCUAUCUUACGC